GCGCGAAAAUUCUGCAAUAGGCGAAAGCUUGACAGAGUUACUCUGAGUGAUGCCCGCUAAGGGCAUCUUUUGGCACCUCUAAAAAUGGUGCAGAAUAAGGGGUGGGCAAGUCUGGUGUCAGCCGCCGCGGUAAUACCAGCACCCCGAGUGGUCGGGACGAUUAUUGGGCCUAAAGCAUCCGUAGCUUGUUCUGCAAGUCUUCCGUUAAAUCCACCUGCUCAACAGAUGGGCUGCGGGAGAUACUACAGGGCUAGGAGGCGGGAGAGGCAAGCGGUACUCAGUGGGUAGGGGUAAAAUCCUCUGAUCCACUGAAGACCACCAGUGGCGAAGGCGGCUUGCCAGAACGCGCUCGACGGUGAGGGAUGAAAGCUGGGGGAGCAAACCGG
rnacentral:rRNA from 1 species